CUUUUACAUUUCUUUUAAUUUCUCCUCUUCCUCUGUCCCAAAUCUGAAAAAAAAAAAAUCGCCAACACCAGCCCCUCUUCAAGUCAGCAGACCGACGGUCGAUGCCCCUUUUCAACUCUCCUCUGUUCGACGGUCGACGCUCGAGCUUGACGUCUCACACACGUGCACCAGUCACCAUCAUCUUUGGCAGAUUCAUUCAUCUCAUUGCACGAUCAUAAAGUUAGUGUGAUUCCAAUUUGGCUGGAGGAAUUCCUGCGCAGCUUUUAAAUUUGGUAGCUUUCAUACACUGAAGCAAUACACAGAAAGCCUAGAUAACCAGAAGAAGAAGAUUGCGAGAUCUAAGUAUUGUUCAAAAUACUCCAAAUUCGGAAGAAACAAAUAGUGAACAACAGACUACUAUUGGAUCUUCGAAUGUUCCGAAUACACCUGACGAACCUGUAGAAAUUCAAAUGAUGGGACGCGCAGAGGUCGAUGACAUACGCUACUUAAAGAUUUAUACGGGUUAAAUCUUGUUGAGUGUGUCAAAGUAUCUAGAAACAAUCUUGGUUAGCCUGUUGGAUCAGAAGCUCGACUUUUAGUAGAUAUUUGGGAAUUAUAGCACGAAAUGCCAAUAUGUUGCCUAUCAACUACGAGUCAUGGCAUCAAAUGCCUGAUAGUAACAAAAAUCAAGCACUCGAAAAUAUUAAGGAGAGGUUUGUUUUAGAGAUCUCGGAUAAUUAUGUCAAUAAGGAUUUAGGAAAAAGAUAGAGAGACCAUAAAAGUACUUUAAAGAAAGAAUAUUUUAAGACAAAAAUAAUUCUCGAAGAGAAAUUGCGAAAUGUCCCGCCGGGAAUGCUGAGGUACCAAUGGGAAGAUGCGGUUAGAUUUUGGAAUUCAAAGAAAGGAGAGGAUUGUGAACGAGUUGGAACAAGCAGUAGGCAAAAACAGAAAUUCACUCACACAGCUAGGAAUUGUCGUCUGGUCAAAAAGUUGGACGCCUUUAGCUUUUUGACAUUACACAUAGGACGAAAAAUAGAUCUCCUAUGACUUCUGAAGCUGCAGAAAUUAUGGAGAAACUAAAGGAUAAAAAGGCGGAGUAUGAAGCGAUUGCUUCAAGUGAUAGUUUUGUUCAUCUUGACGACAUUGAUAACCAGAUUAUUACUGAAGUUUUGGAUCCUGAAAGGUAUGGUCGGGUUCGAUUUCAGGGAUCUUUUGUUAACCAAACCCAAUAUUUUGGAUCCAACUCAGAACAAUACAUGCCUUCGGGGAGUCAGGCUCAAGCUGAAGUUCAGAGGUUAAGAGACCAGAUGGCACAGAUGCAAGCGAGCACAGAUGAGCGAAUUGCUCAACUUAAAGCGGAAGCUGAAAGAAAAUAUGAAUAACUCCAGGUACAACUUAAAGCAGAGGCAGCAGCGAGGGAAGCAGAGCAGAGCAAAAAGUACGACGCACUCCAGCUACAGCUUCAGAAUAUGAUGAAGAUGUUUCAACAGUCGCAAAAUCUACCAUCUUAGACUAUUGUAUGAAUAUUUUUAACAUUUUAACUUUUAACAUUAUUGUAAGAAUAAUUUGAAUUAUACUUCAUUUAUCAAUUUAUAUUAUAUAUCUUUCGUUGAA